AGUGAACGCUGGCGGCAGGCCUAACACAUGCAAGUCGAACGGCAGCACAGUAAGAGCUUGCUCUUACGGGUGGCGAGUGGCGGACGGGUGAGGAAUACAUCGGAAUCUACUUUUUCGUGGGGGAUAACGUAGGGAAACUUACGCUAAUACCGCAUACGACCUACGGGUGAAAGCAGGGGAUCUUCGGACCUUGCGCGAGUGAAUGAGCCGAUGUCGGAUUAGCUAGUUGGCGGGGUAAAGGCCCACCAAGGUGACGAUCCGUAGCUGGUCUGAGAGGAUGAUCAGCCACACUGGAACUGAGACACGGUCCAGACUCCUACGGGAGGCAGCAGUGGGGAAUAUUGGACAAUGGGCGCAAGCCUGAUCCAGCCAUACCGCGUGGGUGAAGAAGGCCUUCGGGUUGUAAAGCCCUUUUGUUGGGAAAGAAAAGCAGCAGGUUAAUACCCCGCUGUUCUGACGGUACCCAAAGAAUAAGCACCGGCUAACUUCGUG
rnacentral:rRNA from 1 species